CUUGCAGGGGGGAGGGGUCCCUCAGCCUGGAUUGUGAGAGGGUGCAGGCCAGGCCAAGGGACCCCACCAGUGCACG
rfam:Myotis lucifugus cont2.5547, whole genome shotgun sequence.